UGGGGAAUAUUGCGCAAUGGGCGAAAGCCUGACGCAGCAACGCCGUGUGAGGGAUGAAGGCUUUCGGGUCGUAAACCUCUGUCGGAAGGGAAGAACGGGUGAGGGUCUAAUAGUCCUUCAUUUUGACGGUCCCUUUAGAGGAAGCACCGGCUAACUCCGUGCCCGCAGCCGCGGUAAUACGGAGGGUGCAAGCGUUAUUCGGAAUUACUGGGCGUAAAGCGCACGUAGGCCGCUUUGUAAGUCAGGGGUGAAAUCCCACGGCUCAACCGUGGAACUGCCCUUGAAACUGCAGAGCUUGAAUCCUGGAGAGGGUGGCGGAAUUCCUGGUGUAGGAGUGAAAUCCGUAGAUAUCAGGAGGAACACCGGUGGCGAAUGCGGCCACCUGUACAGGCAUUGACGCUGAGGUGCGAAAGUGUGGGGAGCAAACA
rnacentral:rRNA from 1 species